AAACAAUCUGUGCAACUCUUUAAAAGUAGCUGAUAAUGCCCUACGAGUGGGAGAAAUUGUUAAUACUACAGCUGUUAGUCCUGUUCAUACAACCCUGGGCGGCAAACGGCGCUUGCUGUCCUCCGAGAUUCAAUAAAUGUGAUGACGGAACAAUUUCAACCCCGUGUUGCGGAAUACAUCGGUGCAACAUAUUCUGCUGCACUUGCACUUGUCGCAAAAGUAAAUCCAGAGCAGUGAAAUCAAAACGACAUAACACAUAUGAUUGUCACAGGCAUAAGCGAAAACAUUCACAUGCAGGUAGGCUAAUGUUAGAUGAAAAUAAUUAUGGCAGAAAACAUAAUUUUUGGAAUCCGUUCGAUUUGGAAUUUUAAAUCAAAAAUAUUUGCAUCUAAAUUAUUAUAUUUUUGUGACAACAUUCUAAUGCUGUAGAACAAUUGUAGAUAAUGAUGUUAUUAAUUUCUAAUAAACUAUCCAUUAAAUGGCCUUUUUAAAAUAGAAAUACCAUCUGGAAACAUCAUAGGUCGUUCGAUAAAUGGAAAAAACAAUUAUGAAUGUUAACUGUUGAAGUAUAUUAAUUUUAAUUAAUAUGUGUGAUGUUUUAAAUGCGUUUCAGUUAAUUUGCAUAAUAUGUAACAAAUCUAAUAUUGUAUUCGACACACUGAAAUGCACUAUAAAA